ACGGCACACGAGUCACGGAACCCGCACUGCAAUACUGGCGAGCCCCCUUCGAUCGACCAACCCCCGUCCCAUCCCUUCUCCGUGUCAGCCUGGAAAAAGAUCGCGCGGCGCGAGCCACGAGGGUGGUCACUGGUCAGGACUCAGGGUCAUCCCCGUUUCUCUCCUCGAGUCCCCACCCCCAGGUACGGACACUCUCCUACUCCGCCCGGCGCCCAUCCCCGCGCACGCCCAGCAGUCCAGCCGGAGGCCAGAUCAAAGCGCCACCGCCACGCCGCACUUAGCUAAUCCCGCCGCUGCCCCGGGGUCGCUAGGAGGAGAUGAAGCCCAAAAGCCUCCCGUUCAUCGCCUUCGAGCACAAGCGGGAUGCGUACGGCUUUGCUGUGCGGCCACAACACCUGCAACGUUACAAGGAGUACGCUGGCAUCUACAAGGAGGAAGAGGAGGAGAGAUCCGAUAGAUGGAAGAAUUUUCUGGAGAGGCAGCCUGAGUCAUCUGGACAGGAUGCUGGUGAUAAUGCUACGGGUGAUGGUUCUGAAUCACUGCAUGAGAAGACCGUAGCAGGGCCACAGAAGAUUCAAAUAUGGACGCCAAUUAGAUCGUCCCUGAGCAACAUUGAGCAGAUAAUGAGCCUGCGCAUCGGGAAGAAGCAAUCUUCUGCUGGCAAGCAGCAAGCAAAGGACGGAACCCAUCACGUGAAAGGUGAAGAGAGCAAGUUGUCGGAGGAUUCAGAUGACGAAUUCUAUGAUGUAGAUAAGGUUGAUCUGAGCCAAGAAGCGCAAUCGAGUGAUACUAGGAAUGCUGAUGUUGGAAGCAGGAACCAAGAAGAAAAUUACAUUUCAAGGGAAGAGUUGGAGUGCCUGGUCCAUGGUGGACUGCCGAUGGUUUUGAGGGGAGAGCUAUGGCAAGCUUUUGUUGGUACUGGAGCUCGUAGGAUAGAAGGGUAUUAUGAUAGUCUUGCAGCAGAGGGUGAAUUAGAUAACAAAAGUUCUCCAACUUCUGAAGGUGUUCAAGAAAAGUGGAUUGGGCAAAUAGAUAAGGACUUGCCCAGAACUUUUCCUGGUCAUCCUGCUUUAGAUGAGGAUGGAAGAAAUGCUUUGAGACGCUUGCUUAUAGCUUAUGCGAAACACAAUCCAUCAGUUGGUUACUGCCAGGCAAUGAACUUCUUUGCUGGUCUCUUGCUUCUAUUGAUGCCAGAGGAGAAUGCAUUUUGGACAUUGGUUGGGAUUAUGGAGGACUAUUUUGAUGGCUACUUUUCUGAAGAAAUGAUUGAGUCACAGGUGGAUCAACUUGUUUUAGAGGAGUUAGUUCGAGAGAAGUUCCCUAAAUUAGCAAAUCACCUGGAUUACCUUGGACUUCAAGUUGCAUGGGUUACUGGGCCAUGGUUCUUAUCCAUCUUCACAAAUGUGCUUCCCUGGGAAAGUGUUCUCCGUGUCUGGGAUGUGCUUUUGUUCGAUGGAAACAGAGUAAUGCUGUUCCGGACCGCUCUUGCGCUACUGGAGUUCUAUGGUCCUGCACUUGUUACUACAAAAGAUGCCGGUGAUGCAGUUACCCUUUUGCAAUCUUUAGCUGGUUCCACAUUUGACAGCAGCCAGCUUGUCUUGACAGCUCGUAUGGGAUAUCAAUCCGUAAAUGAAACAAUAUUGCAAGAGCUAAGUAAUAAACACCGCCCAUCUGUUAUGUCUGCCAUGGAAGAAAGAGCGAAAGGUCUAGGCGUUUGGACAGAUACUAAUGGUCUUGCAUCAAAACUGUAUAACUUUAAACGUGAUCCUGAACCACUGGUUUCUUUAAGCAACUCAGCAGACCAGUUGAGUGAUGUGGGAGAUGGGGAUGCCAAUCAAGAAAGUGAUCCUGUAAACAUGGAUGACGAGUAUGUUGGUGUGACAGUGAAAUCUGAGAUUGAUUCUUUGCCUGAUCCAAAGGACCAGGUUGCCUGGCUGAAGUUGGAGUUGUGCCAACUCCUAGAGGAGAGAAGAUCAGCAGUUCUCAGAGCUGAUGAACUAGAAACAGCACUCAUGGAAAUGGUUAAGCAAGACAAUAGACGCCAAUUAAGUGCAAAGGUUGAGCAGUUUGAACAAGAAAUAUCUGAAUUCAGAGAGGCUUUGUCAGAUAAGCAGGAGCAGGAGCAAGCAAUGUUUCAGGUCCUGAUGCGUGUCGAACAAGAACUGAAAAUUGCAGAGGAAGCUCGCAUCUCAGCCGAGCAGGAUGCUGCUGCUCAGAGAUACGCAGCAAAUGUUCUACAGGAUCAUGACAUGUGCAGGAAAAGUACGAGGAAGCUAUGGCUUCACUUGCCCAAAUGGAGAACCGAGCUGUAAUGGCAGAAACAAUGUUAGAGGCUACACUGCAGUACCAAUCUAGCCAGCAGAAAGCACUGUCCCCUUGCCCUUCUCCAAGGCCAUCAAUGCUCGAUGCAUCCCCUAGUCAGGCAAGUCAGAAUUCAUCGCAGGUGUUUCAGCCAAGAAGGAAAAACUUGCUUGGCCCAUUUUCGCUGAGUUGGCGUGAUAAGAACAAGGAAAAGCCGAACAAUGUUGAAGACUCUGCGAACACAAAGUUUACCAAUAGUGAUGAAAUGGUAGAUGAGAAGCAGAUGGAAACCCUGGAUCUAGAUAACGAACAGAGAGCAGAAUCAACUAAAGAAGAUGGCAAGAUGAGAGCAGAAACCCCUCAGAAAGACGACGAUCUGGUAAGGGUCCAAUUAACCACGGACCAUUUGAAUGGACACCAUGAACAGAUGCAAGAAAUAAAACUGGAUUGGUAAGCACAAUGGCACCCAGUCCAAGUACCUUCGGCAACACUUCUCAGUGUAUUUGUGACCUGAUCACGGUGCCAGUUGGUGCAGCAUUGAGGGUGGCCUAAAGUUUUGAGAUAUCCCCCCCCCCCCCCCCCCCUUUCCUGUGGUUUCCCGAAUUCUUUUUGCUACCACUUGUAGGUUUACAUGUUGUUUCCUCUCUCCAUUAUUAUAGUUUGAGAAGAGAAAAUGCGCAAGUCAUAUGGUUGCUGCGUUCCAAUGUAAAUGUCCUCCUUCCCCCUUUGUGGCUUCCCGAAUCCUUAUUGCAACCACUUCUAGGUUCACAUGUUUGUUCUCUCCAUUAUUAUAAAUUGAGAAUAGAAAAGGAGCAAGUCAUAUGGUUGUCUUGUCCAUUAGUUGCCGCGUUCCAAUGUAAAUGCAUUGGAAGAACCGUAGUAAAAACAUGAGAAUUGUAGGUAAUUAUGAUAUGCUUAUUCUUGUCAAUUAUCAUAUAUAGUUGGGAUAUGUUUGGUUUGGCUGGCA